CGAUUCGAUUCCGUCGCGAUUAUUUUCAAUCCGGUUUACAGUCGGUGACGUCCGGUAACGCGUACCGAAUUCGAUAAGACCAGAACCGUCGUCCGCGUAUGCACGUUACCUACCGUUGUACGGUGUUAUCGCUACGACGACGAUGAUAUGUUAUCGCCGGACCCCGGACGGACACGCGACGACGACGGGACACAAUGCCGCGACGAUCGUUUUCGUUGGGUUUUUUUUUUUUUUCAGUUUCCUUUCCCCUACGGCGACGACGUGUUCGCUUGCGCGCGCUAGACCACGAAUGCGGUAUACGCCGGUAGACGGGCCGCCGCGGUCGUGUCCACGGGUUCGGUUAUCGCGAGACGGCGUGCGGAACGUAACUGUGCGCGCGUGUAUCGGACGGGCUGGCGAC